GACGAACGCUGGCGGCGUGCUUAACACAUGCCAGUCGAACGGUGAAGCGCCUUCCUUUUUGGUGGGUGUGGAUGAGUGGCGAACGGGUGAGUAACACGUGAGUAACCUGCCCCCUUCUUCUGGAUAACCGCAUGAAAGUGUGGCUAAUACGGGAUAUUCUGGGUCUGUCGCAUGAUGGGUCUGGGAAAGAUAUUGUUUCGGUGGGGGAUGGGCUCGCGGCCUAUCAGCUUGUUGGUGGGGUGAUGGCCUACCAAGGCGGUGACGGGUAGCCGGCCUGAGAGGGUGGACGGUCACACUGGGACUGAGACACGGCGCAGACUCCUACGGGAGGCAGCAGUGGGGAAUAUUGCACAGUGGGCGCAAGCCUGAUGCAGCGACGCCGCGUGAGGGAUGGAGGCCUUCGGGUUGUGAACCUCUUUCGCCAGUGAAGCAGGCCUGCCUCGUUUGUGGGUGGGUUGACGGUAGCUGGAUAAGAAGCGCCGGCUAACUACGUG
rnacentral:rRNA from 1 species